AGGAAGGUGGCAGAGUGGUAAUGCAGCGUCCUGCUAAGACGUAGAACCGAAAGGUUCCCUGAGUUCGAAUCUCAGUCUUCCUG
rnacentral:tRNA from 1 species